rnacentral:lncRNA from 1 species
AGGCUGCAGUAGCCAUGAUUGUGCCACUGCGCUCAAGCCUGAGUGACAGAGUGACAUCCUGUCUGCAAAAAAUUUAAAAAACCAAAAAAAUAGAAAGGUGGAGGGUUAGGAUUGCUAUAGGAAAGGGGUCCAUCCAGAACAUUUCUGCCUUCAACUCCAGCAAGGAUCUGAAGGUCCAGGACCUUAGGAAAGCUGCCUGCAGAGAGGUGGAGAG